rnacentral:rRNA from 1 species
UCAGAGACAGGUGCUGCAUGGCUGUCGUCAGCUCGUGUCGUGAGAUGUUGGGUUAAGUCCCGCAACGAGCGCAACCCUCGCCUUUAGUUGCCAUCAUUCAGUUGGGCACUCUAGAGGGACCGCCGGCGACAAGCCGGAGGAAGGUGGGGAUGACGUCAAGUCCUCAUGGCCCUUACACCCUGGGCUACACACGUGCUACAAUGGCGGUGACAGUGGGCAGCUACUUCGCGAGAAGCGGCUAAUCCCAAAAAACCGUCCCAGUUCAGAUUGUACUCUGCAACUCGAGUACAUGAAGGUGGAAUCGCUAGUAAUCGCAGAACAGCAGGCUGCGGUGAAUACGUUCCCGGGCCUUGUACACACCGCCCGUCACGGCAUGGGAGUUGGUUCUACCUUAAGACAGUGCGCUAACCGCAAGGGGGCAGCUGGCCACGGUAGGAUCAGCGACUGGGCCGAAGUCGUAAUCAAGGUAGCCGUA